GGACGGAAAGGGUCCUGAGCAAAUCUGCCAUGAAGAAUGCUGUGAUAGCGGGAGAUGAUGUGGAGAAAUUCCUGGAAAAAAGCAAUAGUCGGAUGGUGGAAUCUGAUUUGCAGAGGAAAAACAUUUGAAUAAAACAGCUGCUGAUAAGUGUGAACUUUGCACUGGGGCUUGCGGUUGGGUUAAUUCUUGAUUUUAGGUUCCUGAAUCGAAUCCUGAUUUCUGUAAAUCAAUGACAGAAAAACUGAAAUUGAAUCAACGGUUAAUAACCUUCCAGAGACAAAGCACUAGUCUAAAGGUGUUCACUGGUGAGUUACCUGAAACAUUUAAGGAGGUAGCUUUACAAAUUCUCUACAGUCUCUUUCAGAAGGUAGGAAUGGGAGUCAAACCCAAAGCCAUUACAAAACAAAACAGAAAAACCCCCUCCCUGUCAGUAUUCCUUGAAGUCAUAAAUGCAGAAUGAUCAAUAAAAUAUUAGUAUAUAGAAGCUGAUAAUUGCUAAAAAUAAUUGCAUACCAAGGCUAAGUGAGAUCUACCCCAUGCAGUAUAGGAUGUUUCUAGGUUAGAAAGUAUUUUCCCCCAUAGUGUUAAUGGGAACCCACCGUCACUGAGAUGCUGUCUAUAGUGAACUGAAAAUCUUUAUUCCCGCUAGCUGGGAAUACACUCAGGCAUUCUGGGACACCAAGUGUCCAGAAUACAGCAUUAUUGAAAGCAAAAACCACUUCCUGGCUGGGUGUGGUGGCACACACCUUUAACUCCAGCACUCCAGAGGCAGAGAACUCUGUGAGUUCUAGGCCAGCCUGCUUGAAAUGAGUUCCAGGACAGCCAGGGUGGUAUACAAAGAAACCCUAUCUCAAAAAAAAUCAAACCAACCAAACAUAAAACAAACCACAUUUUGGCAUCUCAUUUAGCAGCUGUGUGUGUGUGUGGGGGGGGUGUAAUGCAAGCAGGCAGUUUAACAGAAGCUAAGCUAGCUAGGCAUCAUGACCUUAGGUUCCUACAACAGAGUUGGUAAUUUUCCAUGGGGCUUUUCAUCUAGGAGAUCAGAUUCUAGUCAAGCCUAAAAUGGCCUCAGCAGGAAUAUAAGAUGGAGCAGAAGGUCACAAUACAACAGGCUAAAGAAGGAAAGCUACAUGGUUGUAUCAAUAGCUAUAAUAACAAAGCCCUGGACAAAAUUUAACAUGUAAAAUUCUCAACUACAACAAAAACAACAAAAACCAAACAAGAAAAGAAGGAAUAGAGGGAGAUUUACCAAUUGCAAACAAUCCCCAAGAAGUCUACUGCUGAUGACAUACUCAAUGCUAAGAAACUUGAAAGUGUUCCCCAUUAAGGAACAAGGCAAGGAUGUCCCCUCUUGGUACUCUUUCU
rnacentral:lncRNA from 1 species